AGAAGUAGUACUUAUAUAUUAUCACUAACCCCUCAUUGACAUUUUGCAUUUCCUUUGAUUAUGAAUGUAGCCAACAAACUACAGUAGCAUUAGGAACACUUGUAACAUUGUCACCAAUAGAAAUGGUAGAUGUUUUAUGUCAUCAUGUGCUAGGCAGCUUAUAAGAUGGUACCCAAUGAUCCCCACCUCUUGAAAUUCAUUCCUUUGUAUAACCCCUCUUCCUGAGUAUGGCCUGGAUUUAAUGAUUCACUUUUGGUGAAGUAAGUAUGGCAGAGAAGAUGAGAUGUCACUUGAGAUUUUCUUAUAAAAAGACUGCAACUUGAAUUUGAGGGCUUUCUCUCGCUGUCUUGCUCAUUCUGAGGGAAGCCAGCCACCAUGUUAUAAGCUACCCUGUAGAGAGACCCCCGUGGCAUGGAACUGAGGGAAGCAUGUGGCUAACAGCCAGUGAGGAACUGACAUUUGCCAACGAGCAAGUGAGCCUGGAAGCCGAUUCUCCCUUAGUCAAACCUUCAGAUGGGAAUGUGGCUCCAGCUGACACCUUGAUUGCAGUCUGGUAAUAGACCAGGAGCUAGAGGGACCCAGACAGGUUGCUCUCAGGUUUCUGAUUCACAGAAACUGUGAUAUAAUAAGUGUGUGUUUGUUUAAGCUGCUCAGUUCUGGGUAAUUUGUUAGACAAUAGUAGAUUAACUAAUGCAUAUUAUAACUGCCAAUAUUCCCAAAUACUGUUUGAGCUCAUUUCUGCUUCGGAAUUAUAGUAAUUACUAGACUGACCACAAUCUUGUAAUUGAAUGCAUUUAAAGCAUAAGGAAGCACAUGUGUUUAUGUAUAACAAAAUUGUUUUUAAACCAUUUUGAUGCCAUACAUUUCCACUAUUGAAGUUUAUCAGUUCUUAUUUCUUAAGGUCUCCAUUCUUUACAGAUAUUUCAUAAUUGAAAAUCAGUCAGUUUAUAAGAAGAACUUUU
rnacentral:lncRNA from 1 species